GACGAACGCUGGCGGCGUGCUUAACACAUGCAAGUCGAGCGGAGCGGCGAACGGGUGAGUAACGCGUGAGUAACUGCCCCCCUCUCUGUGCUAACAGUUGGAAACGGCUGCUAAUACCGGAUAGUGGGGGAUGAAUCGAGUCCUAUCAGCUUGUGGGUGUGGUGGUGGCCUACCAAGGCGACGACGGGUAGCCGGCCUGGGAGGGCGACCGGCCACAUUGGGCUGAGAUACGGCCCAAACUCAUACGGGAGGCAGCAGUGGGGAAUAUUGCACAAUGGGGGAAACCCUGAUGCAGCAACGCGCGUGCGGGAUGACGGCUUUCGGGUUGUAAACCGCUUUCAGCCAUGACGCGGUAGUGGCAGAAGAAGCACCGGCUAACUACGUGCCAGCAGCCGCGGUAAUUC
rnacentral:rRNA from 1 species